GAUGAACGCUGGCGGCGUGCUUAACACAUGCAAGUCGAACGUGAGAGGUAGCAAUAUCUUGAAAGUGGCGCACGGGUGGGUAACACGUAGGUAACCUGCCUCGGAGUGGGGGAUAACAGUUAGAAAUGACUGCUAAUACCGCAUGAAUCCAUUAAGAUGGGAAUGUUGAUGGAGAAAACUCUGGUGCUUCGAGAGGGGCCUGCGGUCGAUUAGCUAGUUGGCGGGUAACGGCCCACCAAGGCGACGAUCGAUAGCUGGUCUGAGAGGACGAUCAGCCACACGGGAACUGAGACACGGUCCCGACUCCUACGGGGGGCAGCAGUGAGGAAUAUUGGGCAAUGGGCGGAAGCCUGACCCAGCAACGCCGCGUUGGAGGAAUGAAGGCCUUCGGGUUGGUAAACUACCUUUUGUCAGGGGAAGAGGAAGGACGGUACCCUGCGAAUAAAGUCACGGCUAACUAACGUGCCAGCAGCCGCGGUAAU
rnacentral:rRNA from 1 species